rnacentral:rRNA from 1 species
CCAGACUCCUACGGGAGGCAGCAGUGAGGAAUAUUGGUCAAUGGGCGCAAGCCUGAACCAGCCAAGUCGCGUGAGGGAUGACGGUCCUAUGGAUUGUAAACCUCUUUUGUCGGGGAGCAAGGCCCGCCACGUGUGGCGGGAAGGAGAGUACCCGAAGAAAAAGCAUCGGCUAACUCCGUGCCAGCAGCCGCGGUAAUACGGAGGAUGCGAGCGUUAUCCGGAUUUAUUGGGUUUAAAGGGUGCGUAGGCGGGCUUUUAAGUCAGCGGUAAAAAUUCGGGGCUCAACCCCGUCCGGCCGUUGAAACUGGGGGCCUUGAGUGGGCGAGAAGAAGGCGGAAUGCGUGGUGUAGCGGUGAAAUGCAUAGAUAUCACGCAGAACUCCGAUUGCGAAGGCAGCAUACCGGCGCGCAACUGACGCUCAUGCACGAAAGCGUGGGUAUCGAACAGGAUUAGAUACCCGUGUAG